GACGAAGGCUGGCGGCGUGCCUAAUACAUGCAAGUCGAGCGGGCCUCCGGAGGUGCUUGCACCUCCGGAAGGCCAGCGGCGGACGGGUGAGUAACACGUGGGCAACCUGCCUUUGAGGCCGGGAUAACACCGGGAAACCGGUGCUAAUACCGGAUACGUCCUCUUUCGCGCCUGCGAGAGGGGAGAAAGACGGUCUUUAAGGCCGUCGCUCAAAGAGGGGCCCGCGGCGCAUUAGCUGGUUGGUGGGGUAAGGGCCUACCAAGGCGACGAUGCGUUGCCGGCCUGAGAGGGUGAUCGGCCACACUGGGACUGAGACACGGCCCAGACUCCUGCGGGAGGCAGCAGUAGGGAAUCAUCCGCAAUGGGCGAAAGCCUGACGGUGCAACGCCGCGUGAGUGAGGAAGGUUUUCGGAUCGUAAAGCUCUGUUGUGAGGGAAGAACAGCUUCCGGAGGAAAUGCCGGAGGUUUGCCGGUACCUCACCAGAAAGCCCCGGCUAACUACGUGCCAGCCGCCGCCGUAACAC
rnacentral:rRNA from 1 species